GGCUUUGGACUCCCAGAACUCCUGCCUCAGCCUCCCGAGCUGCUGGGAUUAUAGGCGUGUGCCACUACUUUCGGCUGUAAUGCUUUUCUUAAUUGUUCCCACAUCUUAUUAAGAUCGGGUAAUUGAGGUCAAAUACACUCAGUAACAUUGCUCCCAAAUGUCAGAGUGAAGACUCUCUCUCAUUAUCAAUGAUGCUUAAGUUGGAGGUAAAAGUGAGGUCCUCUUCAAUUUCUUGUGAUGAUUGUGCUUCUAGGAAUAUCAGCAAAGGAGAAACAGAAAAGUUUAUAGCAUAGUAACAUUAUGAUUAACUGCUAGUAGAACACUUGAAUGUAUCGAUUAUCUCCACAUUUGAUUUUCAAACCAGGCAAGUACAUACAGAAGUGACCUUUAUUGGGUGUUUUGUUUUGUUUUAGUACUGGGGGUUGAACCCAGGGAUGUUUUACCAAUGAGCUAAUACCCCAGUUCUUUUCAUUUUUAUUUUGAGACCAGGGCUUGCUAAGUUGCUGAGGCUGACCUUGAACUUAUGAACCUUCUUGCUUAGCCUCUUGGUUAUUAUAGGUGUGUACUACCUUGCCUGUAACAGAAAUAACCUUUAAAACGCCAUUUCUUCCUCAAUGUUGGUUCAUUUUUUAGGAAUAGUCAGACCUGUAAAUAAUUCUAAUUGUCUCUAAUUGAUUCAAUCAUCUCACCAACUCCAAUGUUAACUGUUGUUUUCAUUACAUUUCAAAGAUAGGACAUCAAACAAAUGGAAGUUUAGAACUUGGUCAAGAACGGCUAGCUACUGUAAGCCAUUUUUGAACCCAUGUCUUAUGGAGCAAAAGCACAACCUUUUUCUGUUUUUUUUUUUUCCCCCCCUGAGCGGUAUUGGGAUUUGAACCCAUGGCUCAUGCAUGGUAAGCAAGCGCUCGACCACUGAACUGCAUCCCUAGCUCCUCUUUUUGAAAAAAAACUUCAAUAUCAGGUUUUGGUAAGUUGCCCAGGUGACCUCAAACUUAGUCCUAUUGCCUCAGUCUCCUGAAUAACUGGACUGAUAAGUAACCUAAUUCUUAAUUGUUCCAGUUGUUGUAUAGUGUCAUCUUUGGACUUUUCUAGAAUCCCUUGAUGUUGCUGUUGUUUCUUCUCAUGACGAAUGUCUCUUAUAAACACGUUUCUGCAGCUUAACUUCACUCCAUGUAAGAAUCUUUUUAACAUGAGACUUGUUCCAUAGGGUUCCAUUGGCUUUCCAAGUUAGAGGAUUGCUUUUUGAUUCUUUCGUUUGGCUAUUAAGACAGAUUCUUAGAGGAGUUUACCUGCCAUUAAGUCAGCUGUUUUGUCCUAGAUGUUUCUUUCCACAUUCAGUUCCCUUUACCUUCAGAUCUUCAGCCUCCAUUUAACUUCCUAUCUUAUGCACUGAGCAUUGCAGAAUUAUGUCAGAUGAGGAAUCAUUCCAUCAAGUAACCGGGAAUAUUGCUGUGAAGAGGUCUGUCUUUUUGUAAGAGGGAGAAGAAAAAGCUGCAUAGUGCUUUGAAGACAUUGAGCAUCAUUCCAAGAAGAAACAUGAUCUCAGCAGUCAUCUUCAAAUCACCCCCAAUCCUGCCCCCAUCUUGUUGAGAAAGCAUAGCCCCACUUUUACCUAUUUAAUGCUGGUUCUAUAUAUUUCGUUGUGUGUGUGUGUGUGUGUGUGUGUGUGUGUGUGUGUGCGUGCGCGCGCGCACGUGCAGCAAGCUGAAACAUUGAGUAAGGGAACAUUCUUUUAGUUCCCUAGAGCAGAGUAGAAGGGAGUGUUUUUCUUUGUUAUUGGAAUGUGGUGCCAAGGGAAGCAGCAGAGGGGGAGGUACUUGGGAAGGAGCAGCAUGGGGGAAGGAUGCAUAUCCUGUAGAAUCAGUGGUCACAGGUUUUUAUAAAACAUCAACUGUUCCCCACCCCACCCCCAGUGAUAGUUGUAGUUCUAUUGCCUAGCCCUAUCUAACAAGUAUUGUGGUUAGUAGCAGUGACUUUGAGGAAAAAAAUUACUCUUUUGCAACUUCCCAUUUCACUUCCAACUUGGUCAGUAUGCUAAGUAAGAAGUUCCAAGUUGUGAUGGCAAAAUUAUUAUAUCCAGACUUACUCUCUUCCCCUUCCCUAGCUUCUAGUGCCUUAUUUGGUUUGAUGUGCUCCUGUGUCCUAUCAGUGCUUUCUGAGUACUUUUAUGUUCAGUUUCUGGGUUGAUGGGAUAAGAGAGAGAGUAAGGCUAAAAUGGGGAAGUUGGGCUUUGUUAAAAUCUUAAUGAUUUCUUGUGGAUUUCACAUUUCAGAAGAUACUAUUAUACAACUAAAGAUAUUAGGGACCCUCUGCUUCAACAACUUGGCUUUAAGUACCCCUCAUUUCCCAUGUUUUACACUUGAUAUGUUUAAGAAAAGUUAACUGAAUAGUUUCAUUGAUCCCAGAACUAUGUUCACCCCAAAGAGGAAGCCAAUCCUUUUCAAAAAAGACGCAAAUACCUCCAUAAGAUGAUAAAUACCAAUGUCCAUUUUCUCCCCAGGGAAUAGUACACCAUUUAAACUAGGCCCUUAGUCACCUAUAUGUAGUACCGGUGAAACUCCAGGUGUCCCUUUUUAUGGAAACUAGAAAGGGUAUCUUUAUCUUAAUCCUGCUUCUCAGAAGCUUCUGCUUUGCACUGUCGGGCAAGUGCCCCAACACAUGCUACUAUUCUGAUCUCUUCAUGUUUAUUUUGGGGAUUUGUUGCAUAUUAGAUUUUAAGUUAGUACAGUAGUGCAGUUUGUAUUUUGAGUUAGGGGGUCUUAUCUGGGAUUCCAAAAUAAAAGAUUUAAGAAAUUC